UAGGGAAUCUUCGGCAAUGGACGAAAGUCUGACCGAGCAACGCCGCGUGAGUGAAGAAGGUUUUCGGAUCGUAAAACUCUGUUGUUAGAGAAGAACAAGGACGUUAGUAACUGAACGUCCCCUGACGGUAUCUAACCAGAAAGCCACGGCUAACUACGUGCCAGCAGCCGCGGUAAUACGUAGGUGGCAAGCGUUGUCCGGAUUUAUUGGGCGUAAAGCGAGCGCAGGCGGUUUCUUAAGUCUGAUGUGAAAGCCCCCGGCUCAACCGGGGAGGGUCAUUGGAGACUGGGAGACUUGAGUGCAGAAGAGGAGAGUGGAAUUCCAUGUGUAGCGGUGAAAUGCGUAGAUAUAUGGAAGAACACCAGUGGCGAAGGCGGCUCUCUGGUCUGUAACUGACGCUGAGGCUCGAAAGCGUGGGGAGCAAACAGG
rnacentral:rRNA from 1 species